GACGAACGCUGGCGGCGUGCUUAACACAUGCAAGUCGAACGGAGAGGCCCUGCUUUUGUGGGGUGCUCGAGUGGCGAACGGGUGAGUAACACGUGAGUAACCUGCCCUUGACUUUGGGAUAACUUCAGGAAACUGGGGCUAAUACCGGAUAGGAGCUCCUGCUGCAUGGUGGGGGUUGGAAAGUUUCGGCGGUUGGGGAUGGACUCGCGGCUUAUCAGCUUGUUGGUGGGGUAGUGGCUUACCAAGGCUUUGACGGGUAGCCGGCCUGAGAGGGUGACCGGCCACAUUGAGACUGAGAUACGGCCCAGACUCCUACGGGAGGCAGCAGUGGGGAAUAUUGCACAAUGGGCGGAAGCCUGAUGCAGCAACGCCGCGUGCGGGAUGACGGCCUUCGGGUUGUAAACCGCUUUCGCCUGUGACGAAGAGUGAGUGACGGUAAUGGGUAAAGAAGCACCGGCUAACUACGUG
rnacentral:rRNA from 1 species